CAGCAGCCGCGGUAAUACGAAGGGGGCUAGCGUUGUUCGGAUUUACUGGGCGUAAAGGGCGCGUAGGCGGGCGAAUCAGUCAGGGGUGAAAUCCCGAGGCUCAACCUCGGAACUGCCUUUGAUACUGGCGAUCUUGAGUUCGGGAGAGGUGAGUGGAACUGCGAGUGUAGAGGUGAAAUUCGUAGAUAUUCGCAAGAACACCGGUGGCGAAGGCGGCUCACUGGCCCGGAACUGACGCUGAGGCACGAAAGCGUGGGGAGCAAACAGGAUUAGAUACCCGGGUAGUCCCUGUCUCUUAUAC
rnacentral:rRNA from 1 species